UUUCUGAACUUUAUAAUGUUUUUAUAUGAACUCAGAUUGUUUUACGUGUUUUUAUUGUUUUUAUCAUCUGAACCAUUAAAGACGUUCUAAGAACUCAUCACAGAUGUUCUGGUUCCAUGAAUAUCGGGUCCAUUGUGGUUCUGUUGGGUCGGGGUUCUGUAGAACCCAGUCUUGGUGGUUCUGAAUGGUUCCAGUUUGUGGCCACUGGGGGGCGCCAGAUCUCCACCACCACACAGUGAAGGCUCUGUUGGUUCUGAGUUGGACCAGGUGAGCACGGCGGGAGGGGGAGGGGUCAGGUGGUUCUGAUCCGGGUUCUGAACAUUCCAGAUGAAAUUUAUCCCUCUGUGGAGGACGGACUGAACAGAACCGGAACCUGCUGUGGACACAGAAGGAUGGGACGGAGCGCCACGCGGCGUUGCCAUGGGAACAGUCCUGAAGCAUCCAUCAGGAGACUCCAGACCGGGCCGGAGGACCCGGUUCUGUUGGUUCAGGUUGGUCACCUCUAGCCCUGAAGCUCCGCCCCCUCAUGUUACACACAGGAACCGGUCCGGGUCGUUACGCAACCGCGCAGGACCCUGUGAUCCAAAUGAAACAGAACCCACUGAGCAUGUGGUUCUGAUGAGUUUACCAAACACCUGAAGCUCCAACGUGUUCUGCCGUUACAUAACCGGGCCGGCGCAGGCCCGUUUGAUUCCUCUGUGUGGGCGUGCAGCCGGGCCGGGCGGGACCGUCUGGUUCUGAUUUAACCGAACAAUGAGAGGGACAAAAGUGGACCUCCUCUGACUGGAAACACAUGUGGGCUGGGCUUUGUGGUUCUGCUGGGGAGGCUGACCCGCUUGGUUCUGAAGAAUCUGAGACAUUUUAUGGCAUGUAGUCGUUAUUCCCAAUGUUCACAGACUGAGAACGAUGAAGAGGAGGAAGAGGACGGCAUGGAGGGGGACAGAAUGGUUCCCAGGAAGUUCCUCAGGGGACCGUUAUUGAGGUUGCACAACAUGGUUCUGGGUCAAUGACUGACACAGGGAGAGACCUGAAAUGUUAGAGGUUUGGGUCAGCCAGAACCAGAAGGUUCUCCAUCGUCACAUGACCAGAAGGUUUUUCACCAGACUGACCAGAUCCGGACCAGAGAACCAGAACCUGCUGGGUCUGAAGAACCGUCCUGAACAUGUUCAGCUGGUCUGUAUUACCUUUAGGUAACCGAGACGACAAACCGAACAGGUUCAGCUGACGGUCGAUGUUCUGUGAACGGAUCAGAACAGAAAACCUUCAGAACCGGAUCAGGACCAGAGUCCUGAUGGUGAGGAACCGGUGGAGACCAGAGGAGAGAAAAGUUCCUUCUAAACUGAACAGUUUUACACCAAAAACAUGACAGGAGCGAAGAACCUGUGACAGUUUGGUCUGAACCGGGUCACUGUGACCUCAACACCCAGAGCAUCAUCACACAGUGAGUCAGAACCAAACUGGGACUGAUCCCAGUAUGAACUUGGAUCUGGUCCUGGUGUUCUCACAGCAGAUAAGACCAAACAUUGAGACUCUACUCAGAACCAGCGUCUGUUUGGAUGGAGGAGCAUCUGGAGAAGCUUCAGCUCAGGUUCCACUUCCUGAUCUUCGUCCUGAAAAACGAGGCGUUUGCUCCCAGCGUCCUCCUAAAUCUCUGCUGUGGAAGCGAAGGCCAAACCAUCGUUAUCCCUGCCGGGCCUCGCCAAGAACCCAAACAGCCGUAAAUCCCCAGAGCGGCUCCCAAUCAUCCCGUGUGAAAGGCUUCCUGGCUCCCAGCUCCACUUCCAGGCUCUGCAGGAGGGCUCCAGCACAUUUUUCCACAUUCACACCCAUGAUCCUCAGAUUCCCUCCAAGGUUUUGCUGGAAAAUCUCGGCCCGUUUCCUCACGCUCCAUUUCCCCCGUCAGGCUCCAUAAACCCAGAUUAUCUGCAGAAAAUCACAGGAAGAAAGAAAUAACACUGUUUGACUUUAUGGCUGAAAACAGGUGGAACGUUCCUGUGUGAUCCAUCCAUCCAUCCAUCCAUCCAUCCAUCCAUCCAUCCAUCCAUCCAUCCUUGUGGUUGGUUUAGUGGAUGAGUGAAAGUCCAUCUUCAUCAGGAUGACUCCGUCCCGUUGAUAGGAGCCGCUGAGCCUCUUUGGUUUGACGGCUGCUGAAGUGGAAGUGGAAGCGGCCGCGGCGUGUCCUCUGAUCAGCUGCAGUUCGUCUUCAUUACGACGUGACGCAGCGCCGCUGCAGAUCCAGCGGUUUCCAUCCGCCUGCCGUCCAACUAAAACAUCUCAUCCAUCUUCAUUCUGCUGGAAUCGGAGCCGCAGAUGAAGCUCCAUUCAUCACAGCGUUACUAAUUCAGCUCAAUACAGAUGCAAAAACACUAAAUAAUACCAAGGAGUUCUGGUCCAGUUUCUGCUGAAAAUGCCUCAGUGCUCUGAAAAUAGGAAAACUAACUUAUGAGUCACUUUACUGCAGGUUAACAUCUCGUUUUAAAUCAAUAAUUAAAGUAAAAGUUUUACUGGCAGAUUA